GCCGUUAGCUCAGUUGGUAGAGCAGCUGACUCUUAAUCAGCGGGUCCAAGGUUCGAGUCCUUGACGGCCCACCA
rnacentral:tRNA from 1 species